AACGAACGCUGGCGGCAUGCCUAACACGUGCAAGUCGAACGAGACCUUCGGGUCUAGUGGCGCACGGGUGCGUAACGCGUGGGAACCUGCCCUUAGGUUCGGAAUAACUCCCCGAAAGGGGUGCUAAUACCGGAUAAUGUCUUCGGACCAAAGAUUUAUCGCCUUGGAUGGGCCCGCGUUGGAUUAGCUAGUUGGUAGGGUAAAAGCCUACCAAGGCGACGAUCCAUAGCUGGUCUGAGAGGAUGAUCAGCCACACUGGGACUGAGACACGGCCCAGACUCCUACGGGAGGCAGCAGUGGGGAAUAUUGGACAAUGGGCGAAAGCCUGAUCCAGCAAUGCCGCGUGAGUGAUGAAGGCCUUAGGGUUGUAAAGCUCUUUUACCCGGGAUGAUAAUGACAGUACCGGGAGAAUAAGCUCCGGCUAACUCCGUG
rnacentral:rRNA from 1 species